rnacentral:rRNA from 1 species
UACGAAGGGGGCUAGCGUUGCUCGGAAUCACUGGGCGUAAAGCGCACGUAGGCGGAUCGUUAAGUCAAGGGUGAAAUCCUGGAGCUCAACUCCAGAACUGCCUUUGAUACUGGCGACCUUGAGUUCGGGAGAGGUGAGUGGAACUGCGAGUGUAGAGGUGAAAUUCGUAGAUAUUCGCAAGAACACCAGUGGCGAAGGCGGCUCACUGGCCCGAUACUGACGCUGAGGUGCGAAAGCGUGGGGAGCAAACAGG